rnacentral:rRNA from 2 species
AAGUCAUUGAUGCCCUGCUUCCAGGAAAAUCUUCUAAGCUUCAGGCUAUUCGAGACCGUACCCCAAACCGACACAGGUGGUCAGGUAGAGAAUACCAAGGCGCUUGAGAGAACUCGGGUAAAGGAACUAGGCAAAAUGGUGCCGUAACUUCGGGAGAAGGCACGCCGGUGUGUACGUGAAGCCCCUGCGGGUGGAGCGGAAGCCGGUCGAAGAUACCAGGCCCCUGCGACUGUUUAUUAAAAACACAGCACUCUGCAAACACGUAAGUGGACGUAUAGGGUGUGACGCCUGCCCGGUGCCGGAAGGUUAAUUGAUGGGGUUAGCAUUCGUGCGAAGCUCUUGAUCGAAGCCCCGGUAAACGGCGGCCGUAACUAUAACGGUCCUAAGGUAGCGAAAUUCCUUGUCGGGUAAGUUCCGACCUGCACGAAUGGCGUAACGAUGGGGGCGCUGUCUCUACCCGAGACUCAGUGAAAUUGAAAUCGCCGUGAAGAUGCGGUGUAUCCGCGGCUAGACGGAAAGACCCCGUGAACCUUUACUAUAGCUUCACAGUGAACUUUGAGCAUGCUUGUGUAGGAUAGCUGGGAGGCUUUGAACCCGGGACGCCAGUUCCGGUGGAGCCAACCUUGAAAUACCAGCCUGGCAUGUUUGAGGUUCUAACUCUGACCCCUUAUCGGGGUUGAGGACACUGUGUGGUGGGUAGUUUGACUGGGGCGGUCUCCUCCCAAAGCGUAACGGAGGAGCACAAAGGUGGGCUAAGUACGGUCGGACAUCGUACGGUUAGUGUAAUGGCACAAGCCCGCUUGACUGCGAGACAGACACGUCGAGCAGGUACGAAAGUAGGUCAUAGUGAUCCGGUGGUUCUGUAUGGAAGGGCCAUCGCUCAACGGAUAAAAGGUACUCCGGGGAUAACAGGCUGAUACCGCCCAAGAGUUCACAUCGACGGCGGUGUUUGGCACCUCGAUGUCGGCUCAUCACAUCCUGGGGCUGAAGCCGGUCCCAAGGGUAUGGCUGUUCGCCAUUUAAAGUGGUACGCGAGCUGGGUUUAGAACGUCGUGAGACAGUUCGGUCCCUAUCUGCCGUGGACGUUGGAGAUUUGAGGAAAGCUGCUCCUAGUACGAGAGGACCGGAGUGGACGAACCGCUGGUGUUCGGGUUGUGUCGCCAGACGCAUUGCCCGGUAGCUAUGUUCGGACAGGAUAACCGCUGAAAGCAUCUAAGCGGGAAGCCCCUUCCAAGAUGAGAUCUCCCUGAGGCCUUGAGCCUCCUGAAGAGCCGUUCAAGACCAGGACGUUGAUAGGCUGGGUGUGUAAGCGCUGUGAGGCGUUGAGCUAACCAGUACUAAUUGCUCGUGCGGCUUGACUAUAUAACACCCAAG